GAAAGGCGAAACGUAAUGUGAAUCGCAACUAAGUGAAUCAUCGAAUCUUUGAACGCAGCCCGCACCUUCCGGCAGUACUUCUGUACUGCCAGAAGGUAUCUACGUAUGAGUGUCAGCCUAUUAUUCUUUUGGUUCAUGAGGGGCAUGCGACACGUUCGCAUUGUAACUUGUGAAUACACACGUGUCUUGUGACAUAACGUGUAACGAAUCCAUGUCUGGCCUCAUAUGUGGAAGAUUACCCGCUGGAUUUAA
rnacentral:misc_RNA from 1 species